rfam:Beta vulgaris subsp. vulgaris contig95559.1, whole genome shotgun sequence.
UUGAGCUGGUCGAGGGGAAACUUUCACGUCCGGUUUUGAAGGGGGGGAGAUCUUAUAGGAUAGGAUCCUAUCCCGAU